CCUAACACAUGCAAGUCGAACGGGAAGCGGUGCAUAUUGCUUCGGUGAUAAUGUGCCGUGGAGAGUGGCGAACGGGUGCGUAACACGUAGGUAACCUGCCCUGAAAGGGGGGAUAACCACGGGAAACUGUGGCUAAUACCGUAUAAUCUCGCCGUGGCGGUGGUUACGGUGAGGAAAGCUGAGGCGAUUUGGGAGGGGCCUGCGGUCGAUUAGCUGGUUGGUGGGGUAAAGGCCCACCAAGGCGAUGAUCGAUAGCUGUUCUGAGAGGAAGACCAGCCACACGGGAACUGAGACACGGUUCCGACUCCUACGGGGGGCAGCAGUGAGGAAUAUUGCGCAAUGGGGGGAACCCUGACGCAGCAACGCCGCGUGGAGGACGAAGGUUUUCGGAUUGUAAACUCCUUAACUGGGGGAAGAGAGAGGACGGUACCCC
rnacentral:rRNA from 1 species